AGUAAGUAAAAUGAAAUGUAAAUAAAUGCCUAAUUAGGUGUCCAUGAAAAACUGAAGAGUAUCUAAAGUUGUUAGAGAUGACUGUACUUGGAAGGCAGCUUCUUAGACUAAGAAUCAAUGCUUUCAUAACCUUCAUGGAGGAGGCUGGAAGAUUCUGCGGAGGUCUCCAGAAGACUGGUUAACUUGGAUGAAGCCAUUGAAGACAAUCAGGAAGAUACAAUAGGGGAAAAUAUUCCGCGAGGACGCUUUGAUUUUUCUUUACAACACACCACUAAAUUACGAAGCUUCUCGGAGGCUGUGGAGAGCAGCCUGUCUGCUUUGAGAAGUGCAGAUCUAUCAGGAUCCAGAAUCGGGCUCUGAAAAAGCUGUCAUUUCAUGUCUCUAAAACAGCCUCUGAUUUAAUGUACAAGAUGUCAAGAAGUAAAGGACAAUAAAAUAAAAGCCAAAAAGGAGAACUAUUUCAAUUAAGAAGCAUUUCUAUACCAAUUCUUGGAAAUCACGUAAAAUAAAAACUGUCAGAAUCAA